CAGCCGCCACGGGAAUACGUAGGUGGCGAGCGUUGUCCGGAUUUAUUAGGCGUAAAGGGAGUGUAGGCGGUCUUUUAAGUCUGAUGUGAAAGCCCACGGCUCAACCGUGGAGGGUCAUUGGAAACUGGGAGACUUGAGUGCAGAAGAGGAGAGCGGAAUUCCAUGUGCAGCGGUGAAAUGCGUAGAUAUAUGGAGGAACACCAGUGGCGAAGGCGGCUCUCUGGUCUGUAACUGACGCUGAGGCUCGAAAGCGUGGGGAGCAAACAGGAUUAGAUACCCGGGUAGUCCCUGUCUCUUAUAA
rnacentral:rRNA from 1 species